GCCGCGGCUGCCCCGAGCGUCUCCCGGGCCGAGCUGCCCUCCAGCGCCCGGGCCCGCGGCGGCCGCACGGAGCCUGCGAGCGGGGGCGGCCAUGCAGGAGCCGCUGCUGGGGGCCGAGGGCCCGGACUAUGACACCUUCCCCGAGAAGGCGUCCCCGUCGCCGGGGGAGAGGACGCGGGGCGGGGCCCCACAGAACAGGAGGGUGUUCCUGGCCACCUUUGCCGCGGUGCUGGGCAACUUCAGCUUCGGGUACGCCCUGGUCUACACGUCCCCUGUCAUCCCGGCCCUGGAGCACUCCUUGGACCCGGACCUGAUCCUGACCAAAACCCAGGCAUCCUGGUUUGGGUCCAUAUUCACCUUGGGUGCAGCGGCUGGAGGCCUCAGCGCCAUGGUCCUCAACGACCUCCUGGGCCGGAAGCUCAGCAUCAUGUUCUCAGCUGUGCCGUCGGCAGCCGGCUACGCGCUCAUGGCAGGUGCCCACGGCUUCUGGAUGCUGCUGCUGGGGAGGACGCUGACAGGCUUUGCUGGGGGGCUCACAGCUGCCUGCAUCCCGGUGUACGUGUCUGAGAUCGCUACUCCAGGUGUUCGUGGGGCUCUGGGGGCCACACCCCAGCUCAUGGCCGUGUUCGGAUCUCUGUCCCUCUACGCCCUUGGCCUCCUGCUGCCGUGGCGCUGGCUGGCCGUGGCGGGGGAAGGGCCGGUGCUCGUCAUGCUCCUGCUGCUCAGCUUCAUGCCCGACUCGCCUCGCUUCCUGCUCUCACGGGGCAGGGACGCGGAGGCGCUGCGGGCGCUGGCCUGGCUCCGCGGGACCGGCACGGACAUCCGCUGGGAGUUCGAGCAGAUCCAGGACAACGUCCGCAGACAGAGCACCCACAUGUCGUGGGCCGAGGCCCGGAGCCCCCACAUGUACCGACCCGUCCUCAUCGCCUUGCUCAUGCGCUUCCUGCAGCAGCUGAUGGGUAUCACUCCCAUCCUGGUCUAUCUGCAGCCCAUCUUCGAAAGCACCGCCGUCCUGCUGCCCCCAAAGGACGAUGCGGCCAUUGUGGGGGCCGUGAGGCUCUUCUCCGUGCUGAUCGCCGCCGUCACCAUGGACCUGGCCGGCCGCAAGGUUCUGCUGUUUGUCUCGGCCACCAUCAUGUUUGCAGCCAACCUGACGCUCGGGCUGUACGUCCACUUCGGUCCAAAGCCUCUGACUCCCAACAGCACCGUGGGCCUCGAGAGCGUGCCCUUGGGGGACACAGAGCCGCCCCUGGCCACCUCGUCCAGCUACCUCACCCUCGUGCCCCUGGUGGCCACCAUGCUGUUCAUCACUGGCUACGCCAUGGGCUGGGGACCCAUCACCUGGCUCCUCAUGUCGGAGAUCCUGCCGCUGCAAGCCCGCGGCGUGGCCUCGGGGCUCUGCGUCCUCGUCAGUUGGCUCACCGCCUUUGCCCUCACCAAGUCCUUCCUGCUGGUGGUGAGGACACGGCCACGGAGGGCUGCACACAGGGACAGCGCCGUUUCGUUCAGAUCUGCUUAGUCAUCACGGAGCAACUUGAUGCCAGCGAGGAAGAGAGACCCGCAGCUCUGAAAGCUUGUGGGCGCUGCAGGGGGCAUUCUGGACCCCCACAGGCCAGGGCCCAGGACCCAGCACUGACACUUCCUCCUGCCCCUACCCAAUCUCUGGAAACGGGGCUUAAGGGCUCCCGUCCGCAAACUGUGUCCUCCCUGUUUUUGUCACAGUCAGUCAGGCUCUUGGCCUGGGGAGUGACAUGAUGGGGUCUCCUGCAAAUGGGGGAGCCCACCCAGCAGCCAGGCUCAGCUAGUUCCAAACCCUCUGCCACAGUCACUAGGGCCUACCGGCCCAGGCAGGGCCCCCUCUGUGGGCUGCAGGACGGCUCUGUCCCACAGGCUCCAGCCCUCCCCAGCUGUGUGCCCUGGGCAAGCCAUGCUCCUCAGCUGAGAGGCUGUGAACAGGAGUGGGCCAGGGCCAGCCACACGGAAGGUCAAUAAAACGGCAGUUACUCCC